rnacentral:rRNA from 1 species
AUACAGAGGGUGCAAGCGUUAAUCGGAAUUACUGGGCGUAAAGCGCGCGUAGGCGGUUUAAUCAGUCGGAUGUGAAAGCCCCGGGCUCAACCUGGGAACUGCAUUCGAUACUGUUAAGCUAGAGUAUGGUAGAGGGAAGUGGAAUUCCAGGUGUAGCGGUGAAAUGCGUAGAUACCUGGAGGAACAUCAGUGGCGAAGGCGACUUCCUGGACCAAUACUGACGCUGAGGUGCGAAAGCGUGGGGAGCAAACAGGAUUAGAAACCCUGUAGUCC